rnacentral:lncRNA from 1 species
AUGCUGCGGGGGACACGCACCCCCAGAAGUCGUCAGGGUGCCGGUCAGGAGCAGGCCCGGCCUGUCUCAGAGGAGAGCCCUGGAGCGAGGCCACCCGGGGGACACACUGUCCCCGGGCCAGUCUGGGUCAGCGCCCAGCCGGGGUCCCCCUGGGCCUCGGAUAACCGAGCCCACGGCCAUGCGCAGGGGGAAAGCCCCAACUGCCCGGGGCGUCGGUUGGAGGCUGGAAUUCUCAGGCCUUCGGGGCUGUUGGGGGCCACAGGGGAGCCUUGGUCUCUGGACUCGCUUCUCGGGAGGACCUCGGGCCUCAGGGGCGUCUCUUGGGGGUGCCAGCCCCACGAGCCUCAGCUCAGCCCUGGUGAACCGCCUGGACCCCCUCCUUGCAGCAGUUUGCAGAAGGGGCUCAACUGUCUUCUCGGAACACACGGGCAUCCUCCCUGCCAGAGCCCGGAGCCAGAGCACAGGUCACAGGGGUCUCCGCAGGGACCCACACCUGAGCACGGGGUGCUGAGGGCGUCCUCGGGACUGGAUCGCCGGGUCAGAGCAAGAGUGGGGCCAACGGGGUCGGGCAGGAGCCACGAGGGCCCUGGACGGGAGACCGGCCAGCUCGGCCUGGGGUGGGGGGCAGGGCUGGGCUGUGGUUGUCACUUGUCACAUCCUCCAGGCCUGGGCAGAGGGACAUGGGACAUUGGUCGAGUGAAGGAAGAAAGGUGGCAAGAGGGAUGGUGCAGGGAGACUCAUGGGGUGCAUGGGGCCCCGAGUCCGGGUCUGGCUGGUGAGCUCGUGCGAGUGGGGCUGAGUACCAGGCCGGCACCCACCUCUCCUGGUUCUGGGCCAGUGGGCGUAAGAGACCGGGUGGACAGGGCUCCUGGCCCGGUGCCCCUGCCUGGGGAGGGGCCGGUGCCUUCUCUGGCUCACCCUCGGGUGCGUCCACUGGCGGGCACAUGCUCAUGGAUCCGCUUGCCUUCGUCCGUCCCUGGACGCGUUGGGGCCUUGGAGUGCAGACGCCCCCCUCAGAGGGGAGGGAACCGGACAGGGGUGGGGAGGUGCCAGGAGACAUGUGAGUCCCUUUGGGGCCCAGGCAGACGGGGGCAGUGA